UACGUAGGGUGCAAGCGUUAAUCGGAAUUAUUGGGCGUAAAGGGCGCGUAGGCGGCUCUGCACGUUCGUUGUGAAAUCGCCCGGCUCAACUGGGCGGGGUCAGCGGAUACGGCAGAGCUUGAGCAAGCUAGGGGGCAAUGGAAUUCCCGGUGUAGUGGUGGAAUGCGUAGAUAUCGGGAGGAACACCAGUGGCGAAGGCGGUUGCCUGGGGCUUUGCUGACGCUGAUGCGCGAAAGCGUGGGGAGCGAUCCGG
rnacentral:rRNA from 1 species